rnacentral:lncRNA from 1 species
AACGGAAAGAACGUAAAGAACCUCCACAGAAACAGAAACAUACAACAGAAAUUUAAGUGACAGGUCAAGAACAACUACGGAAAUAACGGAAAGAACGGAAAGAACGGAAAAUAGCCACCGAAAGACAUAAACAUACGGCAGAAAAUUAGGUGACAGGUCAAGAACAACAAUGGAAAGAACGGAAAGAACGGAAAGAACCUCCAGAGAGACAGAAACAUACGGCAAAAACUUAGGUGACAGGUCAAGAACAGCUACGGAAAUAACGGAAAUAACAAAAAUAACAGAAAAAACGGAAAGAACGGAAAGAACGGAAAGAACCUUCAGAGAGACAGAAACAUACGGCAGAAAAUUAGGUGACAGGUGAAGAACAACAACGGCAAUAACAGAAAAAAAACGAAAUAACGGUAAUAGAAACAGAAAUAACAGAAAUAAUAAAGGAAAUAUCAAAAAUAAUAACACAAAUAAGAACGGAAAUAAGAGCAGAAAUAACGGAAAUAAUAACGGAAAUAAUAACCUAAAUAACGGAAAUAACGGAAAUAACGGAAAUAACGGAAAUAACCUCCACAGAG